CCUUAACAUACUGCUACCUCUCUGAAGGAUUUCCAGGUUCAAACUUGAGAAAACAGUUAUAAAAAGCACUUUCCCCUCCUGUUCUCAAGGCCCUAACCUACACUCCCUGCUUUCAUCGCGUCUAUAGUGCCCACUGUGCAUUAAAAACAGCUUUCCUAGUGUAGCAGAGACUGCUCCAUGCUAAUUAUUUCUCCUUCCUCCUGAAUUUAAACAGAUGCAUUGCAAAGUUCCACCCCCUCCCCCAAACAGAUGACAUCCAUUUAUUAUGAACUCUGAUGCAAAUUUUGGAAUCUUUGGAUAUAAAAUGUAUUCCCCAUGCUUCCAAACCUGCAGUGUAAGUGAGGAAGAGGGCACAGGGUGGAGUAGUUGGUAGGAAUGCAUGGUUUGAAGUGUCCUAUUUAUCAGGCUGAAAAGUGAUCUCACUCCAUACUAGCUCGAGCUGAGGCCCCUGAAGGGGUCACACAGCCCUGGAUGGCUAAGCCCCAGAAAGUUAUCUGCCAAGUCUCCACCGGUGGUUGCUGGUGGCAAUGGAAGGGAUGGAACUGAGCUUCCAGGAGAAAUGCAGAGGCUUUGCAGUCCCCCAAGGUCUUCCAACAUAUUGCUCAUGGCAAUAAUCUUUUGAUCCAGGUAUUCGUCCUUCUCUCCUGCUCCACCUACUCAUGAUUACAGUGAAGAUACCAACAUUAAAAGGUAACCGGGCUAAGAAGACCACCAAUAUUUUGCACCUGGCCUUCCAAAGUAUAAUGGAACUUUUUCUGCAACACCUUACAUCUUUGGUAAGUCACCCAACCUCCUGAGCAGGAAGAU
rnacentral:lncRNA from 1 species